CACACUGAAACAAGUUAAAAUAGCAUGGUAAUGUACACCUCACUCGCUCAAGUU
rnacentral:lncRNA from 1 species